GACGAACGCUGGCGGCGUGCCUAAUACAUGCAAGUAGGACGCAGUUGCGAACGGGUGAGUAACGCGUAGGUAACUACCUAUUAGAGGGGGAUAACUAUUGGAAACGAUAGCUAAUACCGCAUACUAGUAGAUGGACCUGCGGUGUAUUAGCUAGUAGGUAGGGUAAUGGCCUACCUAGGCAACGAUACAUAGCCGACCUGAGAGGGUGGUUGGGCACACUGGGAAGGGGGCACGGCCCAAGCCCCUACGGGAGGGAGCAAGAGGGAAUCUUCGGCAAUGGGGGGGACCCUGGCCGGGCAACGCCGGGUGGGUGAAGAAGGUUUUCGGAUCGUAAAGCUCUGUUGUUAAGGGAGCGGUACUUAACCAGAAAGGGACGGCUAACUACGUGCCAGCAGCCGCGGUAAUAC
rnacentral:rRNA from 1 species